UCAACUUCUUCAACAAAGUUCUCCCUCUUCUCUCAAAACAAAAUACACUGCUACGAUGCUAUCCUCUCCGCCCUUCUUUGCUCAUAUUUCCGUCGUGACUACUUCAUCUUCUCCAUCUUAUAUUCUCUCUCUAUCAAACUCUCUUCUGAGUCUUCAUCGAUUUCACGGACUCCCUUGUAUCCCUUCGCUUCACCACAGACUCAACCUUCACACUCCAUUGUGAAUGCUUUAUUUAACAUCGUGCUCUCAUCACAAACGUCAUGGACAACUCAACUCAGACUUUGCUUUGACUUAACCUUUUACUUACUGUAA